CAUGCCGGUGUAAAGACGCCAGUAGGUGAAUUGCUAGGCUUGAGGAGAGACGAAGGACGUGGCAAGCUGCGAUAAGCUCGGGGAAGGCGCACGCAUCCUGUGAUCCCGAGAUGUCCGAAUGGGAAUCCUGCCCUUUGGGCACUCCAUCGCAUGGGCGGUGGAGGUCGAACCGUGGGAAUUGAAGCAUCUUAGUACCACGAGGAAGAGAAAUCAACAGAGAUUUCCCAAGUAGCGGCGAGCGAAACGGAAAGAGCCCAAACUGAAUCCUUCGGGAGAUGUGGUGUUUUGGCAUGGCGACAUGGCCCCUAGAACACAGCCAAAGUGUCCUGAAAAGUUCCGGCGUAGCGGGUGAUACCCCCGUAGGCGAAGUGGUAUGGGUGGCCUAGCCAAUGCCCGAGUAUCUGUCCUUGGCAGUGGGCAGUGAAUAUGGGUGAAAGUAGCAUCCAAGGCUAAAUAUCUCUCAAGACCGAUAGUGGACUAGUACCGUGAGGGAAAGCUGAAAAGCACCCCGGAAGGGGAGUGAAAAGUGCAUGAAACCUAUUGGUUACAGACGUGCGUGGCAUGAAAGGCGGUUUUUUCGGGCUGGACGUUCCAGCAAUGGGGCAGAAGGCCCGAGCCCAGACCGUCAGUGUCACGCGUUCCGUCUCGAAACACGGGCCAGGGAGCUUGCUGUCAUGGCGAGCCUAAACCUAGAAAGGUGGAGGCGAAGGGAAACCGAGUUCUCGCAGCAUUGCGAGGAGAAGCGUGUGAAAGUGCGUAGAGUCAUGGCGGUAAGGCUAGAAGCCAGUCGAUCUAUCCCUGAGCAAGAUGAAGGUGGGCGAAAGCCCACUGGAGGUCUGAAGCAGUACUGACGUGCAAAUCGUUUGUGUGACUUGGGGAUAGGGGUCAAAAACCAAUCUAGACUGGCGCUCGCUAGUUCCAAUCGAAGCGUCUCGCAGGGCGUGCUCUGUGGAGAUUGUGUUUCCGGUAGAGCACUGAUAGGGCGGCGCGGGGAGUAAAAUCCUCACCGCCCAUUCAAACUCCGAACGGAUACACAUCGUAGAAGCAGGGACACGGGUUCGUCUGACGUAAGGUUGACGACCGAAAGGGGUUUAACCCAGACUAGAGUUAAGGUCCCCAAAUCUUUGCUAAGUGUCAAGCGGAAGUGCGUGUUCGCACCAAGACAGCAGGGAGGUAAGCUCAGAAGCAGCUACCCUUUAAAAAGUGUGUAACAACUUACCUGCCGAGUGCGGGCGCCGCAAAAAUGGACGGGGCUAAAGCAAAGUACCGAUACUCUGGAUGGUCACCUAUGGUGAUCCAUGGUAGGUUGGCGUAGUGAUUGGGAAGAAGCAGGGCGGUGACGUCCUGUGGACCGGUUUCUAUUGCAGAUCCUGGCGGCAGUAACAGCAUAGUAUGGUGAGAAUCCAUACCACCGCAAGCGUAAGGGUUUCCAGGCAAUGCGUUUUCAGCCUGGAGUUAGUCGGCCCUAAGGGUUGCCUCAACAGAGCAACUCGAAUGGCAAACUGGUUAAUAUUCCAGUACCGCGCAGCAGGUGCUUGAAUCGCACGGGUCGCUUUGAGAUAGGGGGAGCAUAACCGUCGUUGUGUCCAACCGUUCGAGGGCGGGGGAGUGUCGUAAUGACGAGAACCCGCCCGAGGCGGGAAUGGCCCCGCGUUGGCGGGGUUUUCCCGAGUCUCGGAGACCAUGAAAGCCCGUGCGGCUAGCCGGCUGCGCGCCCGUACCCAGAUCCGACACAGGUGCGCUGGCUUAGAAAGCCAAGGUGCUACGGGUAUAACGUAUGGCGAGGGAAUUCGGCAAAUUAGUCCUGUAGCUUCGGUAUAAGGGAUGCCUGCCGUCUUCGUGAGGAACGGGGAUGGCAGGUUGCAAUGACAAGGGGGUCUCGACUGUUUAAUAAAAACACAGGCGACUGCUAGUCCGAAAGGAUGUGUAUAGUCGCUGAAUCCUGGCCGGUGCUGGUACCUAAAACUUGGGUUCAACCGAGCUAAGGGCCAGUUAACGCCGGGAGUAACUCUGACUCUCUUAAGGUAGCCAAAUGCCUUGUCGGGUAAGUUCCGACGCGCAUGAAUGGAACAACGAGGGCCCCACUGUCCCCGCCUGCAACCCGGUGAAGCCACAUAAGGUGGACGAACAGUCCAUCAUCUUCCAUCGGGGAGAGAAGACCCCGUGGAGUUUUACUGCAGCUUGUGCUUGUGGUAUAGUAAGGAUUGCACAGUGUAUCCGGGAGCCAUGCCCGCAGCCCCCCGGGGCUGCGGGAAGCGACGAUGUAACACCGGACCUUUCUUGCAGUAUCGCUUAUCCGGCGCGAGUCGGAGACACGUGCAGGUGGGCAGUUCGGCUGGGGCGGCACCCCUUUGAAAAGAUAUCAAAGGGGCCCAAAGUUUAGUUCAAGCGGGUCAGAAAUCCGCUGAAGAGGGCAAAGCCACAAACUAGACUGACUGGAUUUCCAAACGCACGGAAUUCAGAGACGAAAGUCUGGCUUAGCGAUCCUUCGUGUGCCCGCUAUUGGGGCCCGGAGGUGACAGAAAAAUUACCCCAGGGAUAACAGGCUCGUCGCGGGCGAGAGCUCCUAUCGACCCCGCGGUUUGGUACCUCGAUGUCGGCUUUUCCUAUCCUGGUCCUGCAGCAGGGGCCAAGGGUGAGGCUGCUCGCCUAUCAAAAGGGAACAUGAGCUGGGUUUAGACCGUCGUGAGACAGGUCGGUCUCUGCCUGAUGGAAGCGUGGGUGUCUGAGGGGAAGUUGCUCCGAGUACGAGAGGAACAGAGCAGCGUGGCCUCUGGUCUACCGGUUGUCUGACAAGGCAGGCCGGGCAGCUAAGCCGUUUGGGCUAAGUGCUGAAAGCAUCUAAGCACGAAUCCCAUCCCGAGACAAGACAUCCUUUCGCAAGAUGAAGGUUCGCAGAAGAAGACUGCGUUGAUAGGAUGGUGGUGUGUGCCACAAGCUUCGGCGAGUGGCGAGCCAGCCAUUACUAACCAACCAACACACCGGUUCA
rnacentral:rRNA from 1 species